rnacentral:rRNA from 1 species
CAGUAGCCACGGGAAUACGUAGGUGGCAAGCGUUGUCCGGAAUUAUUGGGCGUAAAGGGCUCGCAGGCGGUUUCUUAAGUCUGAUGUGAAAGCCCCCGGCUCAACCGGGGAGGGUCAUUGGAAACUGGGAAACUUGAGUGCAGAAGAGGAGAGUGGGAUUCCACGUGUAGCGGUGAAAUGCGUAGAGAUGUGGAGGAACACCAGUGGCGAAGGCGACUCUCUGGUCUGUAACUGACGCUGAGGAGCGAAAGCGUGGGGAGCGAACAGGAUUAGAUACCCCGGUAGUCCCUGUCUCUUAUCC